AUUGAACGCUGGCGGCGUGCUUAACACAUGCAAGUCGUGCGGUAACAGGCGUAGCAAUACGUGCUGACGAGCGGCGAACGGGUGCGUAAUACAUGGGAAUCUGCCUUUUAGUGGGGAAUAACCCGGCGAAAGCCGGGCUAAUGCCGCAUAAGAUCUUCGGAUGAAAGCGGGGGAUCGUAAGACCUCGCGCUGAUAGAUGAGCCCAUGCCGGAUUAGCAGUUGGUGAGGUAACGGCUCACCAAGGCGACGAUCCGUAGCUGGUCUGAGAGGACGGCCAGCCACACUGGGACUGAGACACGGCCCAGACUCCUACGGGAGCAGCAGUGGGGAAUAUUGGACAAUGGGGAAACCCUGAUCCAGCGACGCCGCGUGUGUGAAGAAGGCCU
rnacentral:rRNA from 1 species